UACGUAGGGCGCAAGCGUUGUCCGGAAUUAUUGGGCGUAAAGAGCUCGUAGGCGGCUUGUCACGUCGGGUGUGAAAGCCCGGGGCUUAACCCCGGGUCUGCAUUCGAUACGGGCUAGCUAGAGUGUGGUAGGGGAGAUCGGAAUUCCUGGUGUAGCGGUGAAAAUGCGCAGAUAUCAGGAGGAACACCGGUGGCGAAGGCGGAUCUCUGGGCCAUUACUGACGCUGAGGAGCGAAAGCGUGGGGAGCAACAGG
rnacentral:rRNA from 1 species